AUUGAACGCUGGCGGCAUGCCUUACACAUGCAAGUCGAACGGCAGCACGGGAGCAAUCCUGGUGGCGAGUGGCGAACGGGUGAGUAGUACAUCGGAACGUGCCUAGUAGUGGGGGAUAGCCCGGCGAAAGCCGGAUUAAUACCGCAUACGACCUGAGGGUGAAAGCGGGGGAUCGCAAGACCUCGCGCUAUCAGAGCGGCCGAUGCCAGAUUAGGUAGUUGGUGGGGUAAAAGCCUACCAAGCCGACGAUCUGUAGCUGGUAUGAGAGGACGACCAGCCACACUGGGACUGAGACACGGCCCAGACGCCUACGGGAGGCAGCAGUGGGGAAUUUUGGACAAUGGGCGCAAGCCUGAUCCAGCCAUGCCGCGUGCAGGAAGAAGGCCUUCGGGUUGUAAACUGCUUUUGUCAGGGAAGAAAAGUUCUGGGCUAAUACCCCGGAGCGAUGACGGUACCUGAAGAAUAAGCACCGGCUAACUACGUGCCAGCCGCCGCCGUAA
rnacentral:rRNA from 1 species